rnacentral:rRNA from 4 species
UACGUAGGGUGCGAGCGUUAAUCGGAAUUACUGGGCGUAAAGCGAGCGCAGACGGUUACUUAAGCAGGAUGUGAAAUCCCCGGGCUCAACCUGGGAACUGCGUUCUGAACUGGGUGACUAGAGUGUGUCAGAGGGAGGUAGAAUUCCACGUGUAGCAGUGAAAUGCGUAGAGAUGUGGAGGAAUACCGAUGGCGAAGGCAGCCUCCUGGGAUAACACUGACGUUCAUGCUCGAAAGCGUGGGUAGCAAACAGG